rnacentral:rRNA from 1 species
GAGUUUGAUCAUGGCUCAGGACGAACGCUGACGGUGUGCUUUAGACAUGCAAGUCGAACGAGAAAGCCCUUCGGGGUGAGUACAGUGGCGGACGGGUGAGUAACACGUGGGUAACCUGCCCCUCGCAGGGGGAUAACCGGGGGAAACCCCGGCUAAUACCCCGUAAGCUUACAAAGCGCAUCGCUUUGUAAGGAAAGGUAGCUUCGGCCAUCCGGCGAGGGAUGGGCCCGCGGUGCAUUAGCUAGUUGGUGGGGUAACGGCCCACCAAGGCUACGAUGCAUAGCUGGUCUGAGAGGAUGAUCAGCCACACUGGGACUGAGACACGGCCCAGACUCCUACGGGAGGCAGCAGUCGGGAAUCUUGCGCAAUGGGCGAAAGCCUGACGCAGCAACGCCGUGUGGGUGACGAAGGCCUUCGGGUCGUAAAGCCCUGUUGUUGGGGACGAAGGGUUAGGGGUUAAUAGCCCCGAGCCUGACGGUACCCUUCGAGGAAGCCCCGGCUAACUACGUGCCAGCAGCCGCGGUAAUACGUAGGGGGCGAGCGUUGUCCGGAAUCAUUGGGCGUAAAGGGCGUGUAGGCGGUUCGGUAAGUCCGCCGUGAAAACCUGGGGCUCAACCCCGGGCGUGCGGUGGAUACUGCCGGACUAGAGGGUGGUAGAGGCGAGUGGAAUUCCCGGUGUAGCGGUGAAAUGCGCAGAUAUCGGGAGGAACACCAGUAGCGAAGGCGGCUCGCUGGGCCAUUCCUGACGCUGAGACGCGAAAGCG